CGCCUUUAGCCAUAACAAGUAUUAAAGGUCCAGCCUGCCCAGUGAAAACUUUAAACGGCCGCGGUAUCCUAACCGUGCAAAGGUAGCGCAAUCACUUGCCCCCUAAAUAGGGGCCAGUAUGAACGGCUAACUGAGGGCACCCCUGUCUCCUAGGGCCAACCAAUGAAACUGAUUCCCCAGUACAAAAGCUGGGAUAUACACACAAGACGAGAAGACCCUGUGGAACUUUAAACCACCCACUAAUCACUCACCCGGGCCCUCCACGGAGGACCCUACAACCCAUGAAAUAGUGCCCGUUUUAAGUUGGGGCGACUACGGAGUAAAACCAAACCUCCGCGCACCAGGCCCGCCGCCCAUAGAGGCUAACUCGCCAAUACGCUUGUAACCAAGCCCAGAUCCAGCCCAGCCUGAUCAACGAACCAAGCUACCCCAGGGAUAACAGCGCCAUCCCCCUCCAGAGUCCAUAUCAGAAGGGGGGCUUACGACCUCGAUGUUGGAUCAGGACUUCCCAGUGGUGCAGCAGCUACUAAAGGUCCGUUUGUUCAACGGUUAAUGUCCU
rnacentral:rRNA from 1 species